GGAGGGUGGGGAUGACGUCAAAUCAUCAUGCCCCUUAUGACCUGGGCUACACACGUGCUACAAUGGGAAGUACAACGAGUCGCUAGACCGCGAGGUCAUGCAAAUCUCUUAAAGCUUCUCUCAGUUCGGAUUGCAGGCUGCAACUCGCCUGCAUGAAGCCGGAAUCGCUAGUAAUCGCGGAUCAGCACGCCGCGGUGAAUACGUUCCCGGGCCUUGUACACACCGCCCGUCACACCACGAGAGUUUGUAACACCCGAAGUCGGUGAGGUAACCUUUUUGGAGCCAGCCGCCUAAGGUGGGAUAGAUGAUG
rnacentral:rRNA from 1 species